rnacentral:rRNA from 1 species
UACGGAGGGUGCAAGCGUUAUCCGGAUUCACUGGGUUUAAAGGGUGCGUAGGUGGGCAGGUAAGUCAGUGGUGAAAUCUCCGGGCUUAACCCGGAAACUGCCAUUGAUACUAUCAGUCUUGAAUACCGUGGAGGUAAGCGGAAUAUGUCAUGUAGCGGUGAAAUGCUUAGAUAUGACAUAGAACACCAAUUGCGAAGGCAGCUCACUACACGAAUAUUGACACUGAGGCACGAAAGCGUGGGGAUCAAACAGG